ACAUUGGUUGUUCCGUGGUAGAAUUCUUGCCUCCCAUGCAAGAGACCCGGUUUCAAACCCUGACCAGUGCA
rnacentral:tRNA from 1 species